ACGGGUGAGUAACGCGUGGAUGAUCUACCCUUGAGUCCGGGAUAACGGUGGGAAACCGCCGCUAAUACCGUAUAACAAUCCAUUUCAACGUGGGUUUAAAGCAGGCCUCUUCGUGAAAGCUUGCGCUUGGGGAUGAGUCCGCGUCCCAUUAGCUUGUUGGCGGGGUAAUGGCCCACCAAGGCUACGAUGGGUAGCUGGUCUGAGAGGAUGAUCAGCCACACUGGAACUGAAACACGGUCCAGACUCCUACGGGAGGCAGCAGUGGGGAAUAUUGCGCAAUGGGGGAAACCCUGACGCAGCGACGUCGUGUGAGGGAAGAAGGCCUUCGGGUCGUAAACCUCUGUCAGAAGGGAAGAAAAACCAAGAGUCGAAUAAACUCUUGGUCUGACGGUACCUUCAGAGGAAGCGCCGGCUAACUCCGUGCCAGCAGCCGCGGUAAUACGGAGGGCGCAAGCGUUAAUCGGAAUUACUGGGCGUAAAGCGUGCGUAGGCUGUCUGAUAAGUCAGGCGUGAAAUCCCUCGGCUCAACCGGGGAACUGCGUUUGAUACUGUCGGACUCGAGUCCUGGAGAGGGUGGCGGAAUUCCUGGUGUAGGAGUGAAAUCCGUAGAUAUCAGGAGGAACACCGGUGGCGAAGGCGGCCACCUGGACAGGUACUGACGCUGAGGCACGAAAGCGUGGGGAGCAAACAGGAUUAGAUACCCUGGUAGUCCACGCGGUAAACGAUGGAUGCUAGGUGUCGGGGAGCGAUCUUCGGCGCCGCAGCUAACGCAUUAAGCAUCCCGCCUGGGGAGUACGGUCGCAAGGCUG
rnacentral:rRNA from 1 species